rnacentral:misc_RNA from 1 species
GCAAACUUGGUCAUUUAGAGGAAGUAAAAGUCGUAACAAGGUCUCCGUUGGUGAACCAGCGGAGGGAUCAUUACAGAGUUGUUCCUGACUCCAAAACCUAUGUGAACUCACCCGUGUUGCCUCGGCGAGGGAGCUUACCCUGUAGUAGCGAGCUCGCCGGUGGACCAUCUCAACUCUUGUUUUUAUGUGGCACUUCUGAACGGUUUAUACUGAAUAAGUUAAAACUUUCAACAACGGAUCUCUUGGUUCUGGCAUCGAUGAAGAACGCAGC